CGCUGGAUUGUAAUGGGCAUUUACUAAAAAUUUUGAGGGCGCUGCAGACUCAAAAAUCAAUUUGGGAAAUAACGGACACCCUAAUAUACAUACAUACAGACACUCGGACAUCAUUCUGAAAAAAGUCAGAAAAGCUUCCUAGGAUCUCAAAACGUCGACAUCUGGUGAAAAUUCGAUUUUCGUAAAUCGGACCGAAACCAAUAACUUCCCGAAAAUUUGAAAAUUUACAAUUUUCUUAGCGGGAAGUUAAAAAAUCCAUUUAUUAAUUCCCCCCAAACUCGGUUAAAAGUAAAUUAAGUGGACUAAAAGCCCAUUUAAUUUCCCAUGGACUUGCACUCAAAAUAUUAUUAUUUUCAUUAUUAUUAUUUUAAAUUACAAAGUAAUUUAUAUCGUAUAAUUUAUAUUACUGGCAACAAAUUGAUGAUAAAUAAAUGGAGUUUGUGAUAAUAAAUAUUUUUAUUAAGCUUUGGAUAACUCUUAACACUUGACACGGAGACCUUAAACUUUUGACUUUAAUAGUAAUUUUAUAAAAAAAAAUAAUAACAAUAAAUAGCGAAAAAUGGGAUAAACAUUCACUAGUGUAGAAGAGCUUCAAUUACUUGAAAAUUUAUAAUUGAUUCUAGAACAAGAAUGUCAAAAUUAUUUAUCAUGAUUUUUGUUAUCGCACUGUUAACAAUUGGUGCAUAUUCUCAGUGUGUGCAAUUCGGUGGAGAUUGCGAUCGAACUCGGAGCAAUUGUUGUCCUGGUUACAAAUGUAAUCUUAUAUCCCAAACCUGCGGUCAACAAGACUUCGACGAUUAUUAAAAGAAUGAUAAUGAUAUAAAUAAUAAAAAAAAUCGAAAUUUGUUAGUAAAAUUUAUCUAAAAAUGAUUUAUUUUAUAAUCCGAUAACUCGGAUAAUUUUUUUUCAUCAAAUAUAAAUGAAGCAAUAAAUGAAAUUAUUUUUAAAA